UUUUGUUCCUAGUGACACCCGUAGAAUAAGAACGGUAAUUUGCCUUUAAAUACGUCACGUCCUGAGUGUAUUACUCAUAUCGUUGGUGGUUUCUUGGUUGCUGGUCGCUGGAAGAACGUGCUGCUUAUUCUGUGCGCAUUGCGUGAAUCGUUUCUGCCUGUGUCGGUGGAUAUUGAUAGACGGGUACAUCACAGUACGGUUACCCAGUUUUCAUCUGACUGUGAGUCGUAAGGGCUGAAUGACGGAUACAACACCCUGUAUCUGUUACCGUAAACACUGAUAUACGCUGCACUCAAUGAAUGAGACGUGUGGGGGAUCCUUUUGAGUUUCCAGGUGCAGUUGACAUGGAAAUGAAGAGUGCUUCUGGUCUGGAUUGAUCACUGUUUCCCAUCCUUUUAUUCUUUUUGAGAUUUGGAUUGUUUUGUUUUUGUCUUUAUUAAUUUCGUUGUGGGCCCAUGAAAUACCAUUACCGCCAAUAGAGGGGGGAAUCAGUCGCUUAAGUCCACGUGUGGGUGUAAUGAAGUGACAUUUGAGUUGUUUUACACUUAAGUGUGAUUUCUCUUUUCUUUGAAGUGAGUUGUACGUUUUAUUUUAUUUUGAGAGUGUCUGUACCCCCUAUAUUGGAUGUUAGUGUAUGUGCUGGUUUUGAACCAGUUCCUACUGAUGUUGAACAUCAAGAGAAUUAA